ACGCUCGACACCUACUGGAGGCAGCAGUGGGGAAUAUUGCACAAUGGGGGGAACCCUGAUGCAGCGACGCCGCGUGAGUGAAGAAGUACUUCGGUAUGUAAAGCUCUAUCAGCAGGGAAGAAAAUGACGGUACCUGACUAAGAAGCCCCGGCUAACUACGUGUCAGCGGCCGCGGUAAUCUGAGCGGGCUGGCAAGGC
rnacentral:rRNA from 1 species